rnacentral:lncRNA from 1 species
UGGUGCAGGCUGUAUAGAGGUGACCUCCCUAAAUUGGCUUUCGGGUUGAAUAGUGAUUCUGGCCGAGGCUGCGAAGGUGUCUUCAUGGAAGCAAGUGGAUGGCAGAUGGCGUGUUGGGCUAGCAUCACUCCUCGCCAACUGCCACAGCUGAGCCCAGGUAAGCAGGCCACUACCGUGGGCGUGAGAUAUGAGAUAACAUCUCCACUGAGGCCUGUGUAACUCCAGAGAAUAGACUACAGAACAGGUUACUUGUUAACUGCAACCUGAAUCUGGCUGUUCUGUUCCUUUUGCAAGAAUGCUUUGUUUUCUCCUACAAGCCUUGCCUGCCUAGCCCCUCCCUUACUUAGCACAUCAAGCCAUAGUCCUCUCACCAUUUUCCUCAAUGUAAAUGUGAUCAGCAAAUGUCGAGGUUCUGGCUGUCUUGUGGCCUUUUGUUCCCUGUGAACAUCUCACCAUCUCAGAUCCCCAUUGCAUUGCUGUUUAUCUCUUGCUCUUCCUUUUCACAGUGUGCCAUAACACCUUGAAGGAAAUUGGGGACUCACUACAGGGCCCCCGAUAAGUGAUAAUACAAUCACAUUGUGGUUGUAUAUAGAGUUAUAUUUGUAUGAAAUUAAUAGAAGCUAACUUUGAAUUAAAAAACUACAGCACUGUACUUGUCCUGUACAUGUCUCACCAAUGGAAUUUCAUGACUGCUAAAGUAGCUGUGAGCUAGCUGAAUGCCCAUUAUGACACGGACCUCACUUAACUGAUGCCCAGAGCAGAUACUGCCUGGCUAGUCCUGGAAAUUUUUUCUGGCACAGCUCUGCAUAUCGCUAUGAGAUGGGUGUACAAAACUUUUGGCAAGGACUUCUGAACGAGAUACCAGUCUAUUUCACUUGUUAUGGCAAAAUGUCAAAACUAUAUAAUUCCUUAAAAGUAAAAUGGGUGUAUCAGAAGUUAGAACAGUUUUGACAUUACAGGACAUUCUAGAGUCCUGGAUUUUUCAAAAUUUUUGGGUAACGAUCUUCCUUAUAAUUUUCCUAAUAGUUACUCUUGAGUUAAUACUCAUAAAAUUGUGUAGAACCUUCCAGAAGACUGUGCAUCAAAAAAAGGGAUAUUCAUGUUCAUGUUCUGAGAAGAAUGAAGACAGUCACCAGAAAAGGAUGAAAUUUGCUGUAAAGAAUUGUAGUGAUGUUCAUUUACCUUCAGGACAUAGAAUUAACACCUUUUCAGAAAGAAUUACUUCAGCGCGUACAUCUGAACAAAAUGAAGACAUCUUUGAAGACAGAAAUUUAUCAUUUGGUGAACUGAUGUGGGCAGGUACCAGUGAAAAUGAACGUCAAGUAAGUCACACUCGUAGCUCACCUUCAGGUAGGACCAGCUCUUUUUUGCCAUUGCUUCACUCAAAACCAAGAAAAUGUUUUCUAAGCCAUGGACAGCACCCAGAAAAUGAACAUGACACAAUACAGUUUCCCUCUAAGGAAUUAUUUUUAUUAAUGAAAACCAACAAAAAGAAAAAUGCAAGAGUUUCUUCUGGUUUUAAUGUUUUUGAAAUACCUGAAUUCACUAUGGCAAAUGCAGAGCUGGAUGUGACACCGUACCCUUCUUCCCAAUGUUUACUCACUAAAGACCAAGUUAGACUUCUGGAGGAGAAUGUGAGAAAUCAGAUUACUUUAAGACUUAAAGCUGCAUUAAAAAGUGAAGCUACUAACCUGUGCUCAAGACCUCAAGAGUCCCUGGUUCAGAAUCCUUAUUCCAUGAAAAGGGUUAUUUUUGCCCAAGAUUCUUUUCCAGGACAAAAUACUACUCAGAAUGAAGGGUUUUAUGAAGCACAAGCUACUAGUCAAGCCCUACAGUUUAUUCUAAACCAAAACCCAGUCAACAGGCAGCCUGAUACCAAGGCCAGCUAUGUUGCUCAGCCUCAGGAGUCAUUGAAGAAGCCAUUUGCCAUUGGCACAGAAGAUUCAGUCCAGGCCCAGGAUAUGGCUAGAAGAGAGCAGUUCAUCACAGCCCCAUGUAGUGUUGAGAUGAAAAAUGUGAUCAAGGGCCUAGAAUCUGAAAACUUACAUGGAGCCCAAUAUUCUGCCCAGUUUGAAGAUUCCGGCAAGAUUAAAAAUUCAACCAAGGGACAAAACAGUGUAUGUAAUAAUGUUGAGUUUGCAUUUUUAGUUGUAAGUCCAAAUGUACCUGCCAAAGAUGUGCCACAGCUAAUUAUUUCAUCAGACUUAAACCAGCACUCUGCAUGUAUCUUGAGGCCUCUUUCACCUACCAUUAAAGAGCUGAAAAGCGGAAGAAAAGAACCAGGUGGUAACAGUGAACUCACGUUUAAAGUUCCACCAAGUUCUCAGGUAUUUCAAGACACAGCCCAUCAGGCUUCAAAAAAUAGGAAUGAGUCAGAAUGCAAGAACAACACUGAAAAGCAAGAAUUCCAACGAAGGAAAUAUAAAGCAGAUACAGCCUUGCACCUUAUUUCUGUCUCCAAACUUAAGACUCCUCGCAUGAAGAAGCAUUUCAGAAAACAACUAGGGAAAGUCAUACCGUCCUUAAUAAAAUGUGGAUAUUUUCCACAGAAGCAAAAUAAGUUACUAGAUAGAGAGAAAAUAAAAUUUUCAAGUUCUCACAAUUCUUCAGGAUUCUUGUGUGAGCAAGAAAUGUCACACAUUAUUAAAAGUGUAAAAGAGCACGGAAAAGAAAAUAAAGGACUAAAUAACAUCUCACCAAACAUGUUACAGGGGCUAAAACUGCCUUGCGUGGCCAGUGCUAAUGAACUGAAAGCACCUUACUCAUUAUUACAAACAGACUACAAGAGGACGGAGUCUCCUAAGGACCCAAGUAAGCUGGCAUUUGGUCUGCAUGUUCCAAAGCAUGAGACGCCUUCAGAAGUUACAUCAGAACCUACGCAGAACCUUGUGUCACCUCCCCAGAUGAAACCAAAUGGAAGAAUGGAAAUGCGAAAGGACCAACAAAGUACAGCAGAUCCCUACCCACAAUUUCCAGACGAGGUGGAUUUAACACCUAGUUCACUGCACAGGCAAAGGUGCUUCCCAAUCACAAAGGCAAGGAAGGCCCCAAUUUCAAACACACUUAAUACUCCACAACGCAGUUGUCAUGAAGAUCUACCACCAAAGACGAAGGCAAGCAAGGUACUGAUUUCACAGAUAUUUAAUACUCCACAAUGCAGCUGUCAUAAAGAUCUACCACCAAAGACAAAGGCAAGCAAGGUACUGAUUUCAAAGAUAUUUAAUACUCCACAAUGCAGUUGUCAUAAAGAUCUACCACCAAAGACAAAGGCAAGCAAGGUACUGAUUUCAAAGAUAUUUAAUAUUCCACAGUGCAGUCGUCGUAAACAUCUACCACCAAAGACCCUGAAAUUACAAACUAUUGAAUUUUUAAUAUGCAGUGGGGUCCUAUCUAGUCGGCUUUAUAGCAUUGUACCGGACGAUGCAGUAACAGAGACAAGGAAAGGAUCAGCACAAGAAUUACCAGAAACAAUUCUGGAACCUUUCAUUUCCUCUGAAUUUGUUUCGCUUGCAUCUGAAAGAGAGAGAGAGAGAUUAGAAUGUAUGGACAAGACACAUAAAAUGAGUCCCAAACAUGUCACUCUGAAGGCGAAGAAGGCCAAGGCAUUGAAUAUCACAGCAUGUGACAUAACAAGCCAUCCAAGGCAGUUAAGAUGCUACUCCAAAGCCAAGAUGAAAAAAGCUGGACUUAUGGGAGCUAUAUGCCUAAAUGCCAUUUCAUCACCCUUGAUGGUGUCCCUUAAUACGAAGGGGUGUAACAGAAUAGUAGCGCCAGAUAGGCUGCAGAAAACAAGAUUUAAUCAUGAGCUACAGCAGCAAGAGCACUCAACACCUGCAGCGAGAGCCUGGCGUGUGCAUUCCACUGAGGAGGGCAUCACUGCAGGUGGCACUAAGGGUGAGAAACGUCUAGGGGGAGAAGCAGGUCCACCGAUGUCAGUUGACAGCUUCAAACUGCAGUGCGAUGUGAAAGAGAAAGUGAUACAUCUGAAAGACAGAAAGAGUGAUCCAAAUUUGAUUCUGACAAAAGCAUCUGAGCCCAAACCUUCUUUACCUCACUUCAAACUGGAUAAAGAGACGAUUGAUGGGGUUUUCUCAAAUACUGUAAAAGGAACAAAACAACAUAUAUCACAUGAAGAAAAAGAGAGAACAAAACCAUUGGAAAUGAAAAGAAUAACGGACUGUAGCAUUACUUUGAAGGCAAAAAAAUCCUCAAUGUCACAUGUGCUCAGUGGAAAGGAACUGCUUUUGCCGUUGGACAGUACAAAACAAGAGAGCAAGGCGCAAGAAGAUAGGGGUAAAUCAGAGGUAAAACGGACAAACCCUUACACUCCCUCAUUUCUAUCACAUGUUAAUUUGCAUUCAAGAACACAAGAGGGAGAAGAUAGGCCAAGAACACCAAGGAGCUGCCUUCUGCUACAAAAGUCCCGGGCAUCAUCUGUUGUCAAAAGAGUAUCCUUUGCAGAGUCGGCCGUGAGUUUGUGCACUGCACUGGAAUCAACAUGUUUGCUGCAAAAGAAGGAGAAAGCUAGAGAAAAUAUAGUGGAUGCAAAAGAUAUAAUGGACCUCACAUGUAUGUCCCUGAAGGGGAAGAAUUCGCCAUUUCAACAAAUACUGCAUGGAAAGAAUCCAGAGUGGGACAAUAAAAAACAAGAGAACAUGAAGAAAAGAGACAAGAGUAAUCUUGCUGUAGUUCAGAACAAAUCUGGGGAUUCUGUCCUUCCUUCACCUCACUUUAAAUGGGGUCCCAGAAUAAAGAAGUUAUACAUGCAAGGAGUGACACGGUUCUGUCUCCCAUCACUCACGUUCCAGGAACUGUCAGAGGCAACACGUAAGGAGCCCAUCGAUGAUAUUUUAAUCAGCAUAAAAAGAGCAAAAUAUAUGCCACAGAAUGACAGAAUGCAAACAGAUUCUGAGGAAAUAAUGCCUUCCCAGAGAAUAUCUUUGUGGACAAAUCAACCUUCAAUGUCACAGGAAUUACAGAUGAAUGUUGAGGAAGAAGAGAAAAAGACACAAGAGGAUAAACAAGUUGAGAUGCAGGACAAAUUUCCACUUUGCUUUGAAGUAGAUGCAAGAAAAAAAGGAGAUGAAGCUGUGCAGAUAAAGGCAAGAUCCUCUUUGCUGCAGUCAGAGCUCCAGCAGGCACCGGAGAUAGGAAAAAUAGCAUGGGAGAAGUUUAUUUCCGAUGCUGUCUCAUACAGUGUAACAAAUAUCAUAGAUCAUAUCACGCAGAAAGAAAAGGAGAGUGAAAAAGUGGAAAAUAUCAUAACUUUGAAGGAAAACAAAGUGAUUUUACAAGAUGUUCAGUUAGACAUCAAACAAGAGAAAAAGCUACAAAGCAUUAAAAAUGAACCAGCUGUGGCCACUACCAGCGUUUGUGCACCUUCUCCUUGUUUAAAAUUGGAUGGAAGGACUGAUAAAGCACACUGUAUAAUGGAAGUGACAAGAGGCUCUCUUCUAGAACUACUACAGCAGAAAUCAUCAGAUACAGUGAGAAAAGUGAGUGGAGACUCCACCAAGGGGCAUAUGACAACUGCUCUGCAAAAAGUAAAAGAAUAUAUUCCACAGGAAGAAGAGAAUAAAGUAAAAACUUUAACUGAGGGGGAUACACUACAUCCAAAGGACAAAGAUUUGGAAGGCCAGAAGCAAGAGAAAGUUGAUGGAAGAAGUAAAGAACAGAAAAUGGGUCUAAAAAAGAAAGUGCAAAAGGAAACAGAUGUAGAUGAUAAAGAGCAAAGGAAGUGUGGUCAGGGGAGGGAAGAGCGAAAGAAGAUGGGUCAGGAAGAACAAGAGCCAGGGAGAGCAGGUGGAGAAGGCAGAGAACAAAGGAAAGUGGGUGGGGAGAGGAGAGAGCAAGAGACAGUGGGCAGAAACUCUGAAGAGCAAGGCAGAGUGGGGAGAGAAAGGGAAAAGCAAGAGGAGAGAGAUGAAGACAAAGAGCAAGGGAAACAGAAUGGAGAAGGGGAAGGGCAAGCGAGAGAUAAUCAAGAUACCAGACAGCAAGGGGAUGUGGAAGACGGUGAAGCCUGCGUUUUCCAGGAGAGCAUUAUGCAGCCCCAGUGCAUGCCUGGGAAGGCAGAGAAAUCACACCUUCCCCACAGGCUCCAAACAAAGAAACAGCAAGUGAAUCAGAGGUGGGGAAGUGGUCCUGUGCGUCUGAGAAAAGCCUGUUGUGUUUUCACUUCAGUUAUCUCUACACUGGAGACAAUAGAAGAAGAAGAAGACGAAGGUGGAGGAGGAGAAAAAGGAGCAGGAGGGGGAGGUGGAGAGGGGGAAGAAGAAGAAAGAGGAGGAGAAGGUGGAGGAGAAGAAGGAGAAGAGGAAGGAGGAGAAUUGGAAAGAGAAAUAGGAGAAGAAAAUGGAGGAGAGGAGGGUGGAGGAGAAAAAGGAGGAAGAGGAGAAGUGGAAGGAGAAGAGGAGGAGGAAGAAGGAGAGGAAGAGGAGAAGGAAGGAGAAGAAAGAGAAGAGGAGGAAGAAAAAGAAGGAGGAGGAGGAUGGAAAGAAGGAGAAAGAGAAGAAGAGGUGGACAGGGGAGGGAGAGGAAAAGGAGAAGGAGGAGGAGGAGGAAGACAGCCAGGAAUAAUGAGCCACUGUGCGUGGCAUGCCGUCCUCCAGGAGUCACUGCCUUCCGCAUGUCCAGGGUCCACAGCCAACCAUGUGUGGCACAGAAGACUGCGUUUACUGCGGAAAGAAUGUGGAGUCCAAACCUCAGGCACAGAUGGCUUGGUGCCCCCUAAUGUCACGCUUAUCAUGGCAAAGCCAUCAGGAACUCCUUCUGUGCUCAUGACCAAGGAGCACAGUCCUCUGAGCGAGGGAAGAGAAUCACAGCGGAGCAUUAAAGGAAAAGCAGGAGAGAAGCAGGAAAGAGCAAGGAGCUGGGAUGGGGUUCUGAGAGAAACUCAUCCUUCCGCGCCUGCUCCACGUCAGCACAGCAUACUUCCCCAAAGCACAAGACUGAGAACAGAGGUGUCUCACAUGGUGCACCUCUAUAGGGCAAAGACAGUACCUGUGAUUAUAAAAGUGCACAGCAAAGGUGGGCAGGAAGGCAAGAGUGAACCAGAAAUAGUUCUGAGGAAUACUGCCAUCUUUCCUUCUCUCCCAUCUUCCUUGAAUUGGGACAGUGGAGUGAGUGCAAAGGAAGUUACGGGAGGAAGAAUGCAAUUCUGUCUGAAAUCAUUAAAUAUUCAAAGUGCAUCAGAUUCAGGUGAAAAAGCACAUACCAAGUUCAGCAACAGACAAGAACCAAUGCUGUCUACAACACAAGAGGAAGAAAAAGAUGGACUCACAAUAGAUGGGAAAGACAAAAUGUUCCCCAGAUGUGUGGAUCCAAAGCUCAAGAAAUUACCACUGUCACAUACACUCAAUGCCCAGGAAUUCCCAUGGAAAACCAAAGAGCUUAGGAGAAAGAUGCAAGAAGAUAAAAAUGAACUAUUGACAGAUAUGGUAAACAGAUUUUCAAAAUUUUGCUUCUCACAGUUGCAAUCCAAGGAAUCAUCAGAUGCAGAGACAACAGCACCUUCAAAAAUAGAUGCAGAAAUUUCAAAUUAUAUAAAAGAAUUAGAAAAACAUAUGUCACAGAAAGAAAGUACAAGUAUAGAAGAAGUUGUGAAGUUGAGGACUGGGGAUCCCAAGGAUGUAUGUUUGAUGACGAAGAAAUCACCAACUUUACAUAUACUCAAUUUAAGUGACCUUCAGUGGAAAACUAAAGAGCAAGAGAAAAAAGUUUUGGAAGAUAAAAGUGAGCCAGCUCUAAGGCCAGCUAAGACUUCCACUGUGAGAUCUAGCCUGUUCUUUAAUGUGAAUACCAAAAUCAAGGAAGAAAGUGAAUCAGUGUUUACAAGAUCCUCUUUUUCCAAACUCAACUUCCAGGAAUUAUCCAAUUCUGAAGGAGGCAUAUAUAUAAAACCAUAUACUGGUGAUAUUUUAACCAAUGUACAAAAUGGAAAACAACAUAUGCCACAGAACCAGGAAAAGUAUGAAGCACAAAAAGGAAAGAGUGUCGUGUCUCCCAAACAUCAAGAAAUGAAGGGGCAGGAACAUCGACAUGAACCGGGUGUGGUUCCGACCAAAUCGACUUCAUUAGCACCACUCCCUCAUCUCAGACUGGAGAAAGAUGCAGAUUUACAUGCUAAAGUGCCAAGAUGGUCAAGGUCUGCUUUGCAGACAAUGUCAAAUGCAGAGAAAACAAUACCCACAGAGUCAAUUCAUGGUGAUAUUAGGAAAUAUAUUAAAACCAAAAGUGAUCUGUCUCAGAUAGGCAGAGAAAAAACAGACAGGAGAGGAACAGAUGUAACUUUGAAGUCAAGAAAAAUACCUCCUUCCUCUAAGCUCUACAGAACAGAAGUGCAUAUGUGUAUUAGCAGACACAAAGGAAAAGAACAUGAAGAUCGAGGUAAACUGCGAGAUGUAACGGUUCUGAGAAAUGUUAAUGUUUCUGCCCCUUCUCCAUUUCACCUUAAACUGGAUGAAAGUAAACAAAUAGAUGAAGAGAGGUUUGGAAGGAAAACAUCUUCUGUCCUUCCAGUACCAUUUUCAGCAUUAUCAGAUGCAGAGAAAAUAACUGACACAGAGGCAGUGAACAGCCACAUGGGAAAACUGAACCAGUCCAUGUCACAGCAAGAAACAAGGGAUGAAGCGGCGAAGGCAGCUGUGAGCAUCGGGGUACGCUGCCAAGUGCCACGGUUCUCACCAGUUUUGCAUAUCCUUAAUGCAAAGGAAUGGUCACUGAAUUUGAAGGUGCUGGAGAAAACAACACACAAAGACAAAAGCGAGCAAUGUGUGGUUCUAACAAGGUCUUUUGUUUCCGUAUCAUCCAUGCCUCCCGUUAAUGUGAAUUCAAGGAAUGAAAUGGACAGAACCAUGGCAGCAAUUACAGAAUACUCUUCUCCACAGCAAAGAGGCCAAUCAUCUCAUGUCCAGAAAUCAUCACGUGUGCAGAAAAUAGCCAAUCGAGAAUCAGUGGAAGGUGAUGGUAAAAACCUUGAUAAAAAAGCAGAACACAGUGUGUCCCACAAAGAGAAGGAGCAACUGCAGACUUCAAACUGCAUGGUCACUGCCCAGCAAAGAAUUGAACAUCUGCAAAUUGAAUCAGAAAGAGAUGUGAAUUCACAACAUGCGAACAUUUAUUCCACUAAAUCUGGUAUCAGAAGUGGGGAAAGGCUGGAAUUGCACUGUACAGGGCAAAAGUCUCAGCCAGAAAAAUAUGAAAAAGAACCUUUUGCUACCUUUCAUUCAUACCCAACAAGGGAUUUAACGGAAAUUGGAAAUCUGAAGAAAGAAACAGAAAUAAUAGAUAAUUUAAAGCGAACAGUAAGUCCCAAGGUUUUGGGUUCACUUUUGCUGCCAAGGGAAACAUUCCGGGAAAUGCAGGUUGCACCUGGCACCUCCGGAAAUACCAAAGCACUCUCUGUAUCAGAGAUGGAUGAUUAUGGAACCUUGCCAAAAGAUUUACAAAAAGAAGAAAGUCUUCUAGAAUUGGCUCAGAAGACCCUGCAUCUACUCCAAGCUUUUCUACAUCAAUCGGGACACCUGGAAGAAACAGACAAAAUGAAAACAAGCAUCACUACAAAUGCAGAACAGAAAAAAGUAGAAAAGGACAGUAACAGUACCGUGGGUCCUGAGGAAAGGAUACUGCCGCACAAAUCUUUAACUGAAGAAAAAAAUAAGCUCACCAAUCAAGAGUCAAAAACACUUGAAAUGAAAAUAAAUCUGAUAUCAGAGGUAUUAAAAAAACCUUGCUUUUAUCUAAAGCAAGCUACUUUUGAAGAAUACCAACAGAGACUCUACCCAAGACUGGCAAAAAAGAGUAGGUUCCCACCAUGGUCUUCAAGUCUCCAAAUAGACUCAGUGAAAGAAAAAGGCAAACUUCUUACACACUUUUCUGUGAAAACAUUGGAGAUAAAAAUGAAUACCUUUUCCAGAAUUGUAAGAGAAUCUUAUGCGAUGGUCAAUGACGACAAGAAAACAGAACUUUUACCUGACUGUAUUCAUUCUGCUGUCAAAGUACCCAAACAAAAAAACAGAAUCGUGUUACUCUUUGAUGAAAAAUCUCUUCGUGAAAUAGAUCUUAAUUUACAACACAAAUACCUCCAUUAUCUCCUGGGCUUUACUGCUGAAAGCACAUUCCCUAAGCCAAAUGCUUUUCCCAAACAUAGCCAUGAUUUAAAUCCAGCUUGCUUAUAUAAAAGAGAUGACAGAAGAGAAAAUUGUUCUCUUUCUUGUGACACACAACUAGUAGAGGAGCAUAUUACUUUCAAAAAGCAACAUCCCCAUGAAAACUCAUUACUCUUCAGUAAAGGACUGGAGCCAAACCCUGAGUGUGCCUUUGACCCUGAUCUUCAGAAUAGGGUACAGGAGGACACUAACGUUCUUUCAGGGUUAAAAUCCCAUGUGACUCUAGAAAAAGAUGAACAGUAUCAUGUAUCAUUUGAAGAAACAAAUAUAUAUAAAUCUUUUAGUAUAAACACCCCGGAAAAUGAUACUGAUUUAGGUGAUUCACAAUCCAGGAAGAUUUCUGAUUACUUCACUGAUAUUCAGGUGGGUACUAAGAGUUCAGCUAUGUCGGAGGAGUGUAUGGAUCCUGAAGAGGAUGACAGUGAUCAAAGUAUAUUUUUAGGAGCCAGCACUAACUUCCUGAAGUUGGAUGGCAUUAAUGAAAGCAUAUUUUUAGAAGCCAACACUGACUUAGAUCAUGAAUCACAAAAAAUUCUAUAUGACAUACAGGAUGACAUUUCUUCGACCAAUCUUUUCACCACUAAAGACAUCUUACCGUGUGUGAAAUCAGUGAGCAAUGAUGAUUCGGGUUCCCAGCAUGUUACAGUCUGUGGAAAGCACAGCUUAAGUAUGACAUCACCUUCAUUUGAGUCGCACAGGAGGAAGAACUACAAAUCACCCCCCAAAAUGCAGUCCCCGAACUGGGAUAGCUCCUCAGAUACCCUGGACACUCAGUCUACAUCAUCAUUAAAUGAAGAGAGAUUUUCAUGGACUACAAGCAGUGACACCAGUUACUCCUUCCCAGAUAUUAAAGUACACAUUCCAAAAAACCAAAACAAGCCUCACAUAUCCCCUGAAAGUAAAGAAAGAAAGAAGCCCAAAUCUAGUUUACCUAAAAAGAAAAGCAAUCACUGGGACUCUGCCUCCCAUUCCAGGCACACGCAUAAUAAAGAGAAAAGCCCAAGAAAGAAUAAAGUGUGUGACUAUCAGCCAAAGAAGUCAGAUUAUUCUUAUUCCCAACAUAAACACAAGUCAACAUCAAAACCUCAUCAGGAGGAAAUCCACCACCAUCCUGGAAAAAUCCGAAACAAGCCCUUCAUUUAUGCUUGUGUAAUAACAGAGUCAAUGGACGAGAUACCUAAGAUGAUACGUUGGAAUAUUCCUGCAGACAUCUUAGAAACAAACUUUAGAGUGCCCCAGGUGGCAAAGAUGUCUAACACGUGGGGCAUAUGGGAGUUGGUGAGAAAGUUGGGGUCAUUUUAA